ACGCUCGACACCUACGGGAGACAGCAGUGGGGAAUAUUGGGCAAUGGAGGCAACUCUGACCCAGCAACGCCGCGUGAGUGAUGAAGGUCUUCGGAUUGUAAAACUCUUUAAGUAGGGACGAAGAAAGUGACGGUACCUACAGAAUAAGCCUCGGCUAACUACGUGCCUGCAGCCGCGGUAAUCUGAGCGGGCUGGCAAGGC
rnacentral:rRNA from 1 species